rnacentral:rRNA from 1 species
GCCCAGACUCCUACGGGAGGCAGCAGUAGGAAUCUUCCACAAUGGACGAAAGUCUGAUGGAGCAACGCCGCGUGAGUGAAGAAGGUUUUCGGAUCGUAAAACUCUGUUGUUGGAGAAGAAUGUAUCUGAUAGUAACUGAUCAGGUAGUGACGGUAUCCAACCAGAAAGCCACGGCUAACUACGUGCCAGCAGCCGCGGUAAUACGUAGGUGGCAAGCGUUGUCCGGAUUUAUUGGGCGUAAAGCGAGCGCAGGCGGUUUCUUAAGUCUGAUGUGAAAGCCUUCGGCUCAACCGAAGAAGUGCAUCGGAAACUGGGAAACUUGAGUGCAGAAGAGGACAGUGGAACUCCAUGUGUAGCGGUGAAAUGCGUAGAUAUAUGGAAGAACACCAGUGGCGAAGGCGGCUGUCUGGUCUGUAACUGACGCUGAGGCUCGAAAGCAUGGGUAGCAAACAGGAUUAGAUACCCUGGUAGUCCAUGCCGUAAACGAUGAGUGCUAGGUGUUGGAGGGUUUCCGCCCUUCAGUGCCGCAGCUAACGCAUUAAGCACUCCGCCUGGGGAGUACGACCGCAAGGUUGAAACUCAAAGGAAUUGACGGGGGCCCGCACAAGCGGUGGAGCAUGUGGUUUAAUUCGAAGCAACGCGAAGAACCUUACCAGGUCUUGACAUCCUUUGACCACUCUAGAGAUAGAGCUUUCCCUUCGGGGACAAAGUGACAGGUGGUGCAUGGUUGUCGUCAGCUCGUGUCGUGAGAUGUUGGGUUAAGUCCCGCAACGAGCGCAACCCUUAUUACUAGUUGCCAGCAUUUAGUUGGGCACUCUAGUGAGACUGCCGGUGACAAACCGGAGGAAGGUGGGGACGACGUCAAAUCAUCAUGCCCCUUAUGACCUGGGCUACACACGUGCUACAAUGGAUGGUACAACGAGUUGCGAGACCGCGAGGUUUAGCUAAUCUCUUAAAACCAUUCUCAGUUCGGAUUGUAGGCUGCAACUCGCCUACAUGAAGCCGGAAUCGCUAGUAAUCGCGGAUCAGCAUGCCGCGGUGAAUACGUUCCCGGGCCUUGUACACACCGCCCGUCACACCAUGAGAGUUUGUAACACCCAAAGCCGGUGAGGUAACCCUUCGGGAGCCAGCCGUCUAAG